ensembl:lncRNA
GAUGUAAAUCCCUGGGGAGUUUCUGCCUUACUUGAGCUCUCAGAGAGAUUCCAGCAGCCCGAGGCCAACUUCCUGCCAACAAAACACAGCACCACCACCAAAGAGAAGUGAUUCACCAUGAGAUAAUAACAUUUCUGGCGUCCACACUUCCACAAAAUACCUGAGGCACAGGAGUUCUUGGGAGAAAGAAUUUACCAGAGAAGUGGUUAAACAGCAAUGAGCGCAAAUGCGGGUGGCUGCGACGGCGCACAAGCACAGCCGAGAAGAGCUACCCCAUGUCCGAGAUCAGGGGUAGAAGCCAGGAGGACCCCAUGCCCGAGGGGUGGCGGCCAAGAGGAGCUACCCCACAUCCGAGGUCAGGGGCAGCGGCGGAGAGUGCCAGGCUGCGACGGCGCAGGAACCGCCGAGAGGAGCCACCCCACGUCCAAGGUCAGGGGCGGUGGCUGGGAGGAGCUACCUUGCGUCUGAGGUCAGGGGCGGCGGCUGGGAGGAGCUACCCCACUUCGAGGUCACCAGCAGCGGCCGAGAGGAGCAACCCCACCUCCAAGGAGCAGUGGCUGUGGGGGC